GGAUGCGAUUAUACCAGCACUAAAGCACCGGAUCACAUCAAAACUCCGAAGUUAAGCGUGCUUGGGCGAGAGUAGUACAAGGAUGGGUGACCUCCUGGGAAGUCCUCGUGUUGCAUUCC
rnacentral:rRNA from 1 species